rnacentral:rRNA from 1 species
GAUGAACGCUGGCGGCGUGCCUAAUACAUGCAAGUCGAGCGAACAGACGAGGAGCUUGCUCCUCUGACGUUAGCGGCGGACGGGUGAGUAACACGUGGAUAACCUACCUAUAAGACUGGGAUAACUUCGGGAAACCGGAGCUAAUACCGGAUAAUAUAUUGAACCGCAUGGUUCAAUAGUGAAAGACGGUUUUGCUGUCACUUAUAGAUGGAUCCGCGCCGCAUUAGCUAGUUGGUAAGGUAACGGCUUACCAAGGCAACGAUGCGUAGCCGACCUGAGAGGGUGAUCGGCCACACUGGAACUGAGACACGGUCCAGACUCCUACGGGAGGCAGCAGUAGGGAAUCUUCCGCAAUGGGCGAAAGCCUGACGGAGCAACGCCGCGUGAGUGAUGAAGGUCUUCGGAUCGUAAAACUCUGUUAUGAGGGAAGAACAAAUGUGUAAGUAACUAUGCACGUCUUGACGGUACCUAAGCAGAAAGCCACGGCUAACUACGU